CGAUUCUGAUUCACAGCCACCGUCAGUAGGACAGAGCAGAACUACUCCUUGGGGUUUCGGCGAUUGCAGGUCUUCAGGGGCCAAACAGUCUCCCCAUUCUCCCGCAAAGUAGAUUCCAAGGGACAUGGCAGAGGAGGCUGGCAUAAAUGGGGAGCUGACAGCCACAAGGAUGAGGAAGGAGACAUGUCCUGGAAUUGGCAGUGGUAAGGGCUACACGACUCUUAAAAAUGUGACUGAGCUAUUGAACUAUAUGAAACGUGAGUCAUGUUGGUAAGAUUGUUAAAAGAUAAAUGAAUCAAUUACAUUUUUAAAUGCUUUGUAAAAAGUAAACUACCCUUCGGAGUCUUUACCUAA